UACGAAGGGGGCUAGCGUUGCUCGGAAUCACUGGGCGUAAGGCGCACGUAGGCGGCUUCUUAAGUCAGGGGUGAAAGCCUGGAGCUCAACUCCAGAACUGCCUUUGAUACUGAGGAGCUUGAGUCCGGGAGAGGUGAGUGGAACUGCGAGUGUAGAGGUGAAAUUCGUAGAUAUUCGUAAGAACACCAGUGGCGAAGGCGGCUCACUGGCCCGGUACUGACGCUGAGGUGCGAAAGCGUGGGGAGCAAACAGG
rnacentral:rRNA from 1 species